GCCAACAACUUCCGCCCCCGCGACCUCUGACCUGUGAUGCUAUUGGUCCGCCGGGCCACACACUGCCUACAGGUUAAUGGACGCACACGGACACGUUGGCGGAGGUAGCGCGAGUCUGCAGCUGGAGAGAAGAUGGUGUCAGUGUAAGACAGUCAAAGUGAUGGAGGCGAUGCUAGUUGACGCUAAAGGGCGCAGGCGGCGUGUUCUCCUCCAUCUUGAGUUCACACGGACGGCAUCCUCGAUGGUUCCAAUUUCCAGCCCAUUCCCCAAUUUUCAACCCCAGUGACAGACAACACACGCUGGAAUGUCUGUUUAGCUAAAGAAGGGAAUUGCAUAAAGAAUGGGCUGACGGCGCUCGUCCGAGAUCGGAGGCCAUUUUGUGGCUGAGCUCUGUGCUCAACAAUGUGACUAAUGGGUCGCCCUGGAGGACUUUCGGAGGCAUCAGUCAACAGAGGGUUGUCGUUGCAGAUAUACUUUGAUAAUUAAUAUUUUUGAAUUACAAUAUGCUGAUUUCCAAGGCAAAAGAGACAAAUUUGAGUUUGGGUGAAAGAAAAUGGAUUGCUUCUAAAAUUGAUAAUUAAGCCCUCAUCACUUACAGUGGGUUUCCCUUAUCCCCAGACUAGCUCGUCUCAGUGAAUCAACCUUUGCAGGGGGAGCCGGGGGAGUCCUCUUGCCUACCUCGUAGCUCCCAGCUCUCCACAAGCCCCCACAGUGCAUCUCAUUGUCUCGAACGUUUCUGCUCGUCUGCUGUUCUGUGUACGGAAGCUACCCUACCUUUGGCAUGUGGUCGUUGCUAAUUACUUUGAGCUGUUAAGGGAGACAUAUCUGGGGAGACAGGCACGAGGAAGAGACCUACAAACCCAGUUUAAAAGAAGAAUCAGAUUUUCCCGUUGCUCCUGAUAGCUUUGUUUGAC